AAACACAGCACGAAACAAAUCCUCAACCCCCUGGUUCCUCAGUCUAGAUCCCCUCUACUCUCGGUGCCCAUGGACCAGUAUGUCUCUCCUGUGGUAUUCGUACACAUUGCGGCCGAACAGGAGCUGCCCUCGGCUGUCUUUUGAUUGCAUAACCCUGCCUCUUUGCUUACCUCAUGGAACAUCUCUGGAGUAACUCAUGGAGACUGAAGACACAAAGAACAGGGACACGUUCACAACAUCUGCUGGCUUCAGCACCUCAUGACUGUGUAUGCCGCUUGGACAACUCUGACUCUCUCAGGGCGUCUGUCUGCUUCCAGUCCCGUGGAGACGGCCGGCCACCCUGGCACCAGGUCUGGAGCUGGGAAAGAUCGCCGGCCCAGAUGUAAACAGGAGAGAGACCCCACCCAUGGGCAUGGGACAGACAGACAAACCUGACAUAUCCUCUCCUGUAAUCACUUCCAAAGAACUCAACAAAAACAUCCCUCAGCUUUUCCUUCAACCCAAUGUUAAUGUGCUAUUUUUUGUUUAGUAAUCUUGAAAAUGAAGGUAUAUGGAUUGCAACGCACAAAGUCAUCUUAUUGAUUCUGCAAAGACCUUACCAAUAUUAAUCCAUACCCACAAUGUCAUCUCAUUGCCAAAAUGUACCAUUUCCCAGAAGGAAAUUCUGGCCUCCAAAAAUAAGGUUGAUGUUUGCUAAAAAAAAAUGCAUGUUGACUAUGUUCUGCAUAUCAAUCCACAAACAGACAGGCUGACUGUAUUAAUGCUGAGGCUGCCACACAAGGGCGUAGCCUUUUCCAGAUGCUCAUUUUGGGAAUUUGACCAGAUUAACAAGUGAUGACGAACUGACUGACGUACAGAGGACUGUCAGAGGACAUGGUUGCUCAAUGAGGACUUUUUACUCAAAGACAGAGAAGGCAUUCAAGAGAAGACAGAGAAGCUGUUUCAGUCUUCUUCAUAAGCUUUCAUGAAAUAUUGUGCCAAUUGUCCUUCAGAAGCCAAAAUAACCCUCUAGUUUUAAAUCAAUGUCCAAAUGGACAGUUAGAUCAUGACAUUUUGGUGUGGCUAUGAAAAAAAAAAUCUAUGUAACCUGACAUUGGUCACAAGAACAUUAAAAACGUA
ensembl:lncRNA